AUUGAACGCUGGCGGCAGGCUUAACACAUGCAAGUCGAGCGAGCGGCGGACGGGUGAGUAAUGUCUGGGAAACUGCCUGAUGGAGGGGGAUAACUACUGGAAACGGUAGCUAAUACCGCAUACCAUCAGAUGUGCCCAGAUGUGAUUAGCUAGUAGGUGGGGUAAUGGCUCACUUAGGCGACGAUCCCUAGCUGGUCUGAGAGGAUGACCAGCCAAAAUGGAAGUGAGACACGGUACAGACUCCUACGGGAGGCAGCAGUGGGGAAUAUGGCACAAUGGGCGCAAGCCUGAUGCAGCAAUGCCGCGUGUGUGAAGAAGGCCUUCGGGUUGUAAAGCACUUUCAGCGAGGAUGCGUUACUCGCAGGAGAAGCACGGGCUAACUCUGUGACAGGAGCCGCGUUAAUAC
rnacentral:rRNA from 1 species